rnacentral:lncRNA from 1 species
CGGAGAGCCACGGGCUCCGUACCUCCCAUUACAGUCCUUCCCGGUUAUAUGCCCAGCUGCCAAGGCCAUGAGCAGACAAGCCUAAAAUCUGAGUUUGGUCUAGAAGCUGUACGGGGUCUCCUGGGUACCCCCACUUCACUCCUGACCCUCCUCUAAGAAUCUCCAUGCAGUGGAAAGGUGAGAUAUCUCAUCCCACCAACUUGGAGC